GUGAGCUAGAGGCCCAAGGAAUCGCUCUCCAGACUGGGAGAGAGCAGGGCCUGGCUGCCUGCCUGACAGGCUCUGGAAAAUGUACAAAAUGACAUUAGUUUGAGGUGGAAGAAGAUACAAACCCCUCCUCAGAGAGAAGAGCAUUUGCCACCAGACUGGAAACAGAUCGACCAGCAGGGGAAGUUAACAGAUGCAUCCAGAAGAGAAGCGACACACUAGGGGAACGCAGUGAAGCAGCUGUAAGAGAUGAGAAGCUCACCGAAGAGGAGUUGAGCUACAAGGGACAGAACGCAGUGAAGCAACUGGAAGAGAUGAGAAGCACUAAAAGAGCUGGUAACAGCCCUCAAGCACUCCCCCCCACUAAAAACCAGAACUUAAUACAUUGAAUUUCCCUUACUAUUUUUAAGUAUUAUAUUCAGGUCAGCAUUUAAUAAAAGUUUUCUCAAGGUGA